rnacentral:rRNA from 1 species
AACGAACGCUGGCGGCCGGCUUAACACAUGCAAGUCGAGCGAGACCUUCGGGUCUAGCGCCUGAAGGGUUCGUAACGCGUGUCAACGUACCCUUCUCUACGGAAUAUCCCCUGGAAACUGGGAGUAAUACCGUAUACGCCUUUUGGUAGAAAGUUUUAUCUGAUAUCGAUCUUCCUGAGUUGUAUUAGGUAGUUGGUGUGGUAAUGGCCCACGAAGCCGACGAUCCAUAGCUGGUUUGAGAGGAUGAUCAGCUACACUGGGACUGAGACACGGCCCAGACUCCUUAGGGAGGAAGCAGUGGGGAAGCUUAGACAAUGGGGGUAACCUUGAUGUAGUCAUGCCGGGUGAGUGAUGAAGGCCUUAGGGUUGUAAAGCUCUUUAAGAUGGGAAGAUAAUGACGGUACCAGAAGAAGAAGCCACGGCUAACUCCGUG